CUUCUCCUGUGCUAGGAAGUUUGUAGCCAUUUUUCUUACGCCAGCCAAGGACGCGGUGACCAGAGGAGGGAUCGUGUGCAAAGGUUGAGAAGAAUCACUGAUGGAAGAGAAAGGAAAGAGCAAAUAAGAAAGAGGAUGUCAGUGACUGACUGUCUUUGUCAUCUGCAUGUGGAUAGACAAGAAUUGCAGAUGAGGAAACUGAGGCCAAGGGAUCCCAGAGCUCAGAUUCAAGAGCGCAUGCAGCCCUGUGCCAUGCAGCCUUUGCUACCUUCGUAUACCUCACUUCUGCAUUCUGGGAGCACUGGUUAGACUGAAGAGCUUCUGAACUACUGGAGCUCAGAGAUUAC
rnacentral:lncRNA from 13 species